ensembl:snoRNA small nucleolar RNA SNORA15
GCAUGGAUGAAUUCUGUUCCACUUUGACUGUAGUGGACACAGUCAGACACCAUGCAAUAGUCUAGGCUCAUUGCUGCUUAUAAUUGAAUGUGUAAAACACCGUGCAUCAUUUGAGCGCAGGAAUGAGUACAAUU